rnacentral:tRNA from 1 species
GAGGUUGUGGCUCAGUGCUAGAGCACUCACUUAGUAUGUGUGAGGCACUGAGUUCAAUCCUCAGCACCUCA